rnacentral:rRNA from 1 species
AGCGAACGCUGGCGGCAGGCUUAACACAUGCAAGUCGAGCGGGAGCACACGGGUGUCAGCGGCGGACGGGUGAGUAACGCGGGGGGACGUGGGAUUUGAUUGGGAUUUACUUAGGGAAACUUGAGAAAAUAGGGGAAACGACGCUUAGGGGGAAUGCUUGCUGCGGGAGGAUGCGGGCGAGUUUGAUACGAUGGGUGGUGGGGUGAGGGCGCACCAAGGUGACGAUCAGUAGCUGGUCUGGGAGAAUGAUCAGACACACUGGGACUGAGACGCGGCGCAGACUACUACGCGAGGCAGCAGAGGCGAAUCUUGGACAAUCGGCGCAAGCCUGAUCCAGCCAUGCCUGGUGAGUGAUUAAGUCGUUAGAGUUGUAAAGCUCUUUUAUCCCGGACGAUACUGACGGUACCGGAGGAAUAAGCCCCGGCUAACUUCGUG